rnacentral:rRNA from 1 species
UACGAAGGGUGCAAGCGUUACUCGGAAUUACUGGGCGUAAAGCGUGCGUAGGCGGUUUGUUAAGUCCGCUGUGAAAGCCCUGGGCUCAACCUGGGAAUUGCAGUGGAUACUGGCAAGCUAGAGUGCGGUAGAGGAUGGUGGAAUUCCCGGUGUAGCGGUGAAAUGCGUAGAGAUCGGGAGGAACACCCGUGGCGAAGGCGGCCAUCUGGACCAGCACUGACGCUGAGGCACGAA